rnacentral:rRNA from 1 species
GUGGGGAAUAUUGCACAAUGGGGGAAACCCUGAUGCAGCAACGCCGCGUGAAGGAAGACGGUUUUCGGAUUGUAAACUUCUAUCAAUAGGGACGAAGAAAGUGACGGUACCUAAAUAAGAAGCCCCGGCUAACUACGUGCCAGCAGCCGCGGUAAUACGUAGGGGGCAAGCGUUAUCCGGAAUUACUGGGUGUAAAGGGUGAGUAGGCGGCAUGGCAAGUAAGAUGUGAAAGCCCGGGGCUUAACUCCGGGAUUGCAUUUUAAACUGCUGAGCUAGAGUACAGGAGAGGAAAGCGGAAUUCCUAGUGUAGCGGUGAAAUGCGUAGAUAUUAGGAAGAACACCAGUGGCGAAGGCGGCUUUCUGGACUGGAAACUGACGCUGAGGCACGAAAGCGUGGGGAGCGAACAGGAUUAGAAACCCUAGUAGUCC